rnacentral:rRNA from 1 species
UACGGGGGGAGCAAGCGUUGUUCGGAUUUACUGGGCGUAAAGGGCGCGUAGGCGGCGUGACAAGUCACUUGUGAAAUCUCCGGGCUUAACUCGGAACGGUCAAGUGAUACUGUCGUGCUAGAGUGCGGAAGGGGCAACUGGAAUUCUUGGUGUAGCGGUGAAAUGCGUAGAUAUCAAGAGGGAACACCGGUGGGCGAAAGGCGGCGCCUGGGUAGAUACUGACGUGGAGGUGCGAAAAGCGUGGGGGAGCAAACAGGAU